AAUUUUCUAUGAUAAUUUUAUAGUCUAUAGUAUUCAUUAUUCUAAGGUAAUAAAAAUUU
rnacentral:tRNA from 1 species